GAUGAACGCUGGCGGCGUGCCUAAUACAUGCAAGUCGAGCGAACAGACGAGGAGCUUGCUCCUCUGACGUUAGCGGCGGACGGGUGAGUAACACGUGGAUAACCUACCUAUAAGACUGGGAUAACUUCGGGAAACCGGAGCUAAUACCGGAUAAUAUAUUGAACCGCAUGGUUCAAUAGUGAAAGACGGUUUUGCUGUCACUUAUAGAUGGAUCCGCGCCGCAUUAGCUAGUUGGUAAGGUAACGGCUUACCAAGGCAACGAUGCGUAGCCGACCUGAGAGGGUGAUCGGCCACACUGGAACUGAGACACGGUCCAGACUCCUACGGGAGGCAGCAGAGGGAAUCUUCCGCAAUGGGCGAAAGCCUGACGGAGCAACGCCGCGUGAGUGAUGAAGGUCUUCGGAUCGUAAAACUCUGUUAUUAGGGAAGAACAAAUGUGUAAGUAACUAUGCACGUCUUGACGGUACCUAAUCAGAAAGCCACGGCUAACUACGUG
rnacentral:rRNA from 1 species